rnacentral:rRNA from 1 species
CCUACGGGUGGCUGCAGUAGGGAAUCUUCCACAAUGGACGAAAGUCUGAUGGAGCAACGCCGCGUGUGUGAUGAAGGGUUUCGGCUCGUAAAACACUGUUGUAAGAGAAGAAUGACAUUGAGAGUAACUGUUCAGUGUGUGACGGUAUCUUACCAGAAAGGAACGGCUAAAUACGUGCCAGCAGGCGCGGUAAUACGUAUGGUCCAAGCGUUAUCCGAAUUUAUUGGGCGUAAAGCGUGCGCAGGCGGUUGUUUAAGUCCGAAGUGAACUCCCGCAGCUUAACUGUGGAAGUGCUUUGGAAACUGGAUAACUUGAGUACAGUAGAGGAGAGUGGAAAUCCAUGUGUAGCGGUGAAAUGCGUAGAUAUAUGGAAGAACACCAGUGGCGAAGGCGGCUCUCUGGACUGUAACUGACGUUGAGGCUCGAAAGUGUGGGUAGCAAACAGGAUUAGAUACCCGGGUAGUC